rnacentral:rRNA from 1 species
GAUGAACGCUGGCGGCGUGCCUAAUACAUGCAAGUCGAGCGAACAGACGAGGAGCUUGCUCCUCUGACGUUAGCGGCGGACGGGUGAGUAACACGUGGAUAACCUACCUAUAAGACUGGGAUAACUUCGGGAAACCGGAGCUAAUACCGGAUAAUAUAUUGAACCGCAUGGUUCAAUAGUGAAAGACGGUUUUGCUUUCACUUAUAGAUGGAUCCGCGCCGCAUUAGCUAGUUGGUAAGGUAACGGCUUACCAAGGCAACGAUGCGUAGCCGACCUGAGAGGGUGAUCGGCCACACUGGAACUGAGACACGGUCCAGACUCCUACGGGAGGCAGCAGUAGUGAAUCUUCCGCAAUGGGCGAAAGCCUGACGGAGCAACGCCGCGUGAGUGAUGAAGGUCUUCGGAUCGUAAAACUCUGUUAUUAGGGAAGAACAAAUGUGUAAGUAACUAUGCACGUCUUGACGGUACCUAAUCAGAAAGCCACGGCUAACUACGUG